rnacentral:rRNA from 1 species
UACGGAGGGUGCAAGCGUUGUUCGGAAUUAUUGGGCGUAAAGCGCGCGUAGGCGGGUUUUUAAGUCUGAUGUGAAAUCCCUCGGCUCAACCGAGGACGUGCAUUGGAUACUGGAAGCCUUGAAUCCCGGAGAGGAUGGCGGAAUUCCCAGUGUAGAGGUGAAAUUCGUAGAUAUUGGGAGGAACACCAGUGGCGAAGGCGGCCAUCUGGACGGUGAUUGACGCUGAUGUGCGAGAGCGUGGGUAGCAAACAGG